AACGAACGCUGGCGGCAGGCUUAACACAUGCAAGUCGAACGCCCCGCAAGGGGAGUGGCAGACGGGUGAGUAACGCGUGGGAAUCUACCCAUCUCUACGGAAUAACUCAGGGAAACUUGUGCUAAUACCGUAUACGCCCUUCGGGGGAAAGAUUUAUCGGAGAUGGAUGAGCCCGCGUUGGAUUAGCUAGUUGGUGGGGUAAAGGCCUACCAAGGCGACGAUCCAUAGCUGGUCUGAGAGGAUGAUCAGCCACAUUGGGACUGAGACACGGCCCAAACUCCUACGGGAGGCAGCAGUGGGGAAUAUUGGACAAUGGGCGCAAGCCUGAUCCAGCCAUGCCGCGUGAGUGAUGAAGGCCCUAGGGUUGUAAAGCUCUUUCACCGGUGAAGAUAAUGACGGUAACCGGAGAAGAAGCCCCGGCUAACUUCGUGC
rnacentral:rRNA from 1 species